AGCGGGGAGCAAGCUUGCUUGCUCUGCCGGCGACCGGCGCACGGGUGAGUAACACGUAUGCAACCUGCCCUCCGCAGGGGGAUAACCCGGAGAAAUCCGGACUAAUACCGCGUGGUACAUCUGUGGGGCAUCCCACGGGUGUUAAAAGGAAGCGAUUCCGGCGGAGGAUGGGCAUGCGGCGCAUUAGCUAGUUGGCGGGGUAACGGCCCACCAAGGCGACGAUGCGUAGGGGUUCUGAGAGGAAGGUCCCCCACACUGGUACUGAGACACGGACCAGACUCCUACGGGAGGCAGCAGUGAGGAAUAUUGGUCAAUGGGCGGGAGCCUGAACCAGCCAAGUCGCGUGAGGGAAGACGGUCCUAUGGAUUGUAAACCUCUUUAGGCGGGGAGCAAUGCCGGGCACGCGUGCCCGGAGGGAGAGUACCCGCAGAAUAAGCAUCGGCUAACUCCGUGCCAGCAGCCGCGGUAAUACGGAGGAUGCGAGCGUUAUCCGGAUUUAUUGGGUUUAAAGGGUGCGUAGGCGGAUUUUUAAGUCAGCGGUAAAAUGUCCGGGCUCAACCCGGGCCGGCCGUUGAAACUGGGGAUCUUGAGUGGGCGAGAAGUAUGCGGAAUGCGUGGUGUAGCGGUGAAAUGCAUAGAUAUCACGCAGAACUCCGAUUGCGAAGGCAGCAUACCGGCGCCCGACUGACGCUGAGGCACGAAAGCGUGGGGAUCGAACA
rnacentral:rRNA from 1 species